CACCUCUCAGGGUCUCACCUGGAGAGUUUCCAGUACUUUACCAGUCUUGGCUAAGAGAAGGAGAGUAAAACAGAAGCAUACCCAUUCCAUUCCUAGCCUGGGCAGCGGCUAGCGAGUGGAAGGCAAUCUGCUACAAGU